CUUCAAUACAACACCAAAUGGCGGAUGACGCCGGUGCUGCUGGAGGGCCCGGAGGCCCCGGGGGCCCUGGAGUGGGAAGCCGCGGCGGCUUCCGUGGAGGAUUCGGCAGUGGCAUCCGGGGCCGAGGUCGUGGUCGGGGUCGCGGCCGGGGUGGAGGCCGCGGAGCUCGCCGAGGCAAAGCCGAGGACAAAGAGUGGAUCCCCGUCACCAAGCUGGGCCGCCUGGUCAAGGACAAGAAGAUCAAAUCCCUAGAGGAGAUCUAUCUCUUCUCCCUGCCCAUCAAGGAAUCUGAGAUCAUUGAUUUUUUCCUGGGGGCAUCCCUGAAGGAUGAAGUUUUGAAAAUAAUGCCAGUGCAAAAGCAGACCCGUGCUGGCUGGAGGACCCGGUUCAAGGCAUUUGUCGCCAUUGGGGACUACAAUGGACACGUGGGUCUGGGUGUUAAGUGCUCCAAGGAGGUAGCCACUGCCAUCCGCGGGGCCAUCAUCCUGGCCAAGCUCUCCAUCGUCCCUGUGCGGCGAGGCUACUGGGGGAACAAGAUCGGCAAGCCCCACACUGUCCCUUGCAAGUUUGAUAGGAAAAUUCUAAAAGCCUAUAAAUCUCAUGUUAUUGUCCUGAAUAUGUAG